CAAAUUUAAAAUCUACCUGGUUUYCAGGUCGAGUUGUAAUUUGAAGAUACGUUUUUGACGUUCCGGGUUGRACUAAAUCCUUUGGGAUAAGGUAUCAUGGAGGGUGAGAAUCCCGUAUAUACCAACCRYAGGGAUGUUAUUUAAUACGUUUCUAAGAGUCGAGUUGUUUGGGAAUGCAGCUCUAAAUGGGUGGUAAAUUUCACCUAAUGCUAAAUAUAAGCGAGAGACCGAUAGCGAACAAGUACAGUGAUGGAAAGAUGAAAAGAACUUUGAAAAGAGAGUUAAAUAGUAYGUGAAAUUGUUGAAAGGGAAACGAUUGAAGUCAGUCAUGCCAGUGGGAAUCAACUUAGAGGAAACUCUGAGUGCACUUCUUCGCUUGGCAGGUCAACGUCGAUUUUGGAUGUCAUAAAAUGAUUGGGGGAAGGUAGCUCYUUCGGGAGUGUUAUAGCCCUUGGUAGAUGUGAUGUCUGGGAUCGAGGAUUGCAAUGGAUACCCUUUGGGGCUAGCCGCCUGAUCUCUAAUUGGUAUUGGGUUACGGAUAGCAUGCUGACCGUGAUCUAAUUAUUGGUUAAAAGGUUA
rnacentral:rRNA from 1 species